GGUUUUUUCGUCACCAUGCACGAAACGAAAAAAUACAAACAAUGUCGCUCCCCUCGAUCUCCCGGCCAGGCUCCCCUUGAUCCAAUCUCCCCACCGCUGCCGAGGUAUGAGAUCGCCGCCACCGAGCCAACGUACGGGGUCACUGCCGAGCCGAUGUACAUGAUCGCCUCCAUCGCGUUCCUUCCCUCGCCACGCCCCUCCUAAUUUAUUCCGGUAACCCAGCUAGGGUUCUCACCCGCCGCCGCUUCGCUGAUGCCACCCCGCCACCCGAUGCCCUCCAUGGACGCCACCACCGCGAUGGCGCAAGGACGAACAAAAGGGUGGUCGUCGAGGUUGGGCACCGCCGUGAGGAUGCUGGCGCCCGUGCGCGCGGUGAUGGCAUGGUGGCAGAAGAAGGUCGUCUUCCCGAGGAGCCGCGUGCUGGCGGGCGUCUCCAUCCGCGGCCUCGCCAGAAAGACAGGCAUUAUAAGUUCAGGGCAGGCUGCGACGAACGACGCAAGGAGUCAGUGUCGGAGGUACACAUUUAUGUUGAAGAACCAGACGAACAAAUCUCAUGAAAUGCUCAACACACGAAAGAUAUUUCAUCACACGGCGACUACAGUUUUUUGCUCUGUUGUUUGGUAAGUUUAUGCAACUCAGGAAACAAACUUAAGUAAUGAAACACAAUGCCCAAUAAUUCUGGUUCAAACUUUAGUAAUGUAAUUGAAUGCCUAACAAAUCUGUAGCUAGCUUAAUCAUUUUUUCCCACGCAUCGCGAGCGUACUGGACGGCGGGAACGAACGCGUCAAGGAGGACGCCAGCGAUGGUGGUUCCAGGGAAAUCAUGCCGCCGCUGGCCACGGGAGGAUGUCCGUCUGCGUUAACCUGGUCGAGAAGAAUCUUCAAUGACACCAUACAUACCCUUUGAGCUCCCCAAACUCUUGGCCAUAGCCUCUUCCGCUUUUCACAACAACUUUCAAAACUGGGUUAUGCAUAGAUGAUGAUCACUGCUACAACUCAAAGUGAAGACUUUUCUAUCUAAACCUAAUUGAAGUAUUCUGAUGAUGGUGAAAAAGGCUCUAGCAAGUAUCUAAUGCAUAUACAUGAGUUUAUAUUAUUUAUCAUAUUCACAUACUAAUAUAUUCAUGAUUAUUUUGCAUUGUAGAGUGCUAGCACGCUACAUUAUGGAGCUAGCACGCUACAUUACGGAGAAAACGUUGAGAGAAUGCUUUGUUGAGAUGAUAGACAGGAAUAAUCAAUCCUUUUUCCACGGUCGGUGGCGGUGGGUCUGGAGAUGCGGAUGCCCCCGCAUAGCGCGGCGCCAAUGGCACUCGUGGGAUCCUUCAUCACCCAAGGUAAACCUGUGCUUGACUUCCUUUCUUAUGCUCCUCAUGUUUUGUUGGUUGUUACCUACCAUUAGAUUGGAUGUUUGUUCUCUGGCUGUACAUAGUCAAUUCUGGUGAGCUAUUUUGGACUAAUGAGGUUUGUGGGGUCAAUAAGUAUGGCACAAACUGUGUUGAUCUUCAACGCACGUAUGCUUUCCUAAAUUGGAUUGAUUUGCCGACGUCGAGUUAGUGUGCACCAGCGGGCGUAGCUUCGCCUAUGUCAACUUUCACUGUUCCUCCCCUAAGGUCGUGACCAAGUUAUUCUCCACCGUAAGCAUCCACCACCCCAUCAGCAAUCUCAUUGUAACUAUUUUUCUACACUUCGACAACAAUUAAUAGUAGCGGAUUGGGAUUUUGUUGAUUAUCCGCAUUAGCCGUGUGUGUUCUCUGGUUUGAAUGGAGAAUUUUGUGUUAGGCGAGUAGAGCUUUACCAACUUAAUAACAGAGGAUGGUGCUUGCACUUGUUGUGGGUGUUGAUGGUUCCCAUGUCUUGGUUCCUUGGAAUGGCGAUUCAAGAAACAUCAUCGUGUUGAUUGACCAUAGGGUGAUUGACCAAGCCAAGUGAAUUAAUUCUCACAGUUCAUCAGUAUUGCAAUUUUAUGGUGGGAGCGUCUCCCCAGAAAUCUCUACUCCUAAGGUAACCAGUUUUUUCUCCAUGAAUAUGAUUCUCCAACUUCCUGAUUCAUUAUUUGUAAAAAACACUAAUGAUAUUGUUGGGCCUCUGAACCAUUGUGUUGAUUGCCAUGUUUUGCUUGAAUAUCUCAGAAUGUCCGAAUUCUAGCAUUUGAAAAGUUGAACAACACAAUGUUACUGAAAAUAUGUUGGAUUGCGUGAAGAAUACGGAUAAAUAGUUUUGAAUUAUUUUGUAGCGAGACACAUGCACCUGGUGUUGUCUACCUUAUCCAACACCUAUCGAUAAUGUCAAUAAGAUACAAUAUUGUUAUGGAAAGUCCAUAACAAACUAAUUCCAACAUUAUGUGAUUUGCUGACACAUCUCAUGGUAUCGAUAUUAAUAAAGGUUUUCUGUUAUAAGUUUUACUGUGAGACUAGGCAUCUUUUGUUUUCAAAACAAUAGACUCAUGCAUAGUUAAUUUGACUUGAAUGAAGCAGGUAUUCUCAUUCCAUAUUUUUAUUUGCUUUCAUGCACAAAGGCUACUUGAUCUUGGUAAGCUUCAGGAGAUUGCUGUAAAAUCUGUACGAGUAUGUGAACGUGAGAAAUCAAGCUCUCCCAUAUGAACAUUCCUUGUACCGUUGGAUAUGACCCAGCAAGCAAUAUGAUUACCAUGCGAAUGAAGCGAAAGACAACAUUCCUGACGUUUGUGUUCAUCAAUAUCUCAAACGCAUAAGUAUGUCUUAGUUUGUAACUGAUAAUUAUCAUCGAUCUCUUUAUAUACAUUGUUGAUUACAUUGUAAAUGGACUGAAGUUCAAUUUUUAUAUACAUGUCAAAUUCUGGCAUUGAUCUCUUUA